AGAAGAGAGGGAUCGUCCUGCAAUAAAUCUCCAUUUCUCCUCUACGUAUGCCCUUCAAGAAGGGAAACUAUGUUCAGCUUCCGAUGCUGAGAGUCUGGUUUACAUGCUCUACUUUUCAUCUGGCGGUGAUAUGCCUGAUCUUGAUUCAGUUGAAGGAGCACUGCAAUGGAGGGAAACCUCUUGGUCAAGAAGGCUAAUCCACCAAAAGCUUGGAGAUAUUUCUACAGUCUUGAAA
rnacentral:misc_RNA from 1 species